GACGAACGCUGGCGGCGUGCCUAACACAUGCAAGUCGAGCGAGGAACUUGCAACUGAUUCCUUCGGGAUGAAGAUGUAGGUUUCCUAGCGGCGGACGGGUGAGUAACGCGUGAGAAACCUGCCUUUCACUAGGGGAUAGCCUCGGGAAACCGGGAUUAAUACCCUAUGACACUUAAGGGUCGCAUGGCCUUUAAGUUAAAGCGCUUUAGCGGUGGAAGAUGGUCUCGCGUCCCAUUAGCUAGUUGGUGAGGUAAAGGCUCACCAAGGCGACGAUGGGUAGCCGGCCUGAGAGGGUGACCGGCCACACUGGAACUGAGACACGGUCCAGACUCCUACGGGAGGCAGCAGUGGGGAAUAUUGCACAAUGGAGGAAACUCUGAUGCAGCGACGCCGCGUGAGUGAUGAAGGCCUUCGGUCGUAAGCUCUGUCCUAGGGGACGAUAAUGACGGUACCCUAGGAGGAAGCCCCGGCUAACUACGUGCCAGCAGCCGCGGUAAUAGUACUCUA
rnacentral:rRNA from 1 species